rnacentral:rRNA from 1 species
CCGCACAAGCGGUGGAGCAUGUGGUUUAAUUCGAAGCAACGCGAAGAACCUUACCAGGUCUUGACACUCCCCUGACAACCGAGAGAUCGGGCGUUCCCCUUCGGGGGACAGGGUGACAGGUGGUGCAUGGUUGUCGUCAGCUCGUGUCGUGAGAUGUUGGGUUAAGUCCCGCAACGAGCGCAACCCUCGACCUUAGUUGCCAGCAUUCAGUUGGGCACUCUAAGGUGACUGCCGGCUAAAAGUCGGAGGAAGGUGGGGAUGACGUCAAAUCAUCAUGCCCCUUAUGACCUGGGCUACACACGUGCUACAAUGGGCGGUACAAAGGGUUGCCAACCCGCGAGGGGGAGCCAAUCCCAUAAAGCCAGUCGUAGUCCGGAUCGUAGUCUGCAACUCGACUACGUGAAGUCGGAAUCGCUAGUAAUCGUGGAUCAGAAUGUCACGGUGAAUACGUUCCCGGGUCUU